rnacentral:lncRNA from 1 species
CCUCUGUACAGCGUCAGCACAGGUCAAGCAGGUAAUCUUUAGAACUGCAUGUUGUGCAUAGAACUAGAGAAAAAUCAAUUACUUAAAAUGUUACUCACAGUGGGGUUAGUAACGAGAAGGUCAUCUCCUACAAUCUGCACUUGCUGUCCAAUCUCAUCAGUGAGUUUGGCAUAAGUGGUCCAGUCAUCCUGAUCGAAUGGAUCUUCGAUAGACACAAUAGGGUACUCAGAUACAAAGGACUUGUACAGAUCUUUCAGGCUGUCACCUGAAAUUUUGUUUGAACCAUCGUUGUUCUGGCCAAGAAAGUGAGUACACGUUGAUAUAAAAUAAAAGCUCAUAUAUUAUCAUAGCCUUAUAGAAUAACACAUAAGGAAUAGCUAAAGCCAUAGGUAAAUAUAACUAUAAAAGCACAAUAGUAAGUUGCAAUUCUUACCUCCUCCUUGAAAUUAAGAUCAUACGUCUUGUCCUUCUCACUAAAGAAUUCAGAAGCAGCAACAUCCAUUCCAAUGACCACCUGCCACACAGAUAAGUUGAAUCAACUACACACACAAAGGUUUGUCUGUUAGUGAGCCAAGUACAAAAGAGAGGACGUACCUUUCCAGUGUAGCCAGCCUUUUCUAUAGCUGCCUUCAGUAGUUCAAGGCCUUCUUUGUUUUCCUGCAUAUAUUGGUUGUCAUAGAAAUUAGAUUGUGAGAUAAAUGGAUGUUGAUGAUUAAUUUUGUAAUUACCCUACAGUAAACAUAGAAAAAAUAUCAUAGUGUUCCUAUAGUGAGAACAUAGAGCAAUAAUUAGGCUAGCACCACUAACUUGCCAAAUUUUGAAUUAUGUCCUGAUCAUCUUAAAUAUAUGCUAGAUAGCAUCAAAAAAUAUAUAUAAGUAAGAAUUGUUGUGCUAGCCUAUGACAGCAGCAGAGAAGAACAUAUGGACAUUACCUGAAUGUUAGGUGCAAAACCACCUUCAUCCCCAACAUUUGUGGCAUCUUGACCAUACUUCUUCUUGAUUAUGCUCUGCAUACAGUAGCAUUUAGCAUUCUGACUUCACAUUCCUAGGGACCACACUUAAGAUACUUCAAUAGAUGCAUUAGUUGAUCACCUUCAGGUUGUGGUACACCUCAACUCCCAUCUUCAUGGCCUCCUUGAACGAGGAGGCACCAGUUGGGAGGAUCAUGAACUCCUGUACAACAGUUAAAUGAUCAGAGAGUAUAGUCGAGGCAUGUAGUCAGAAAAUCAGAUUUCUCAAGGAAUGUUACCUGCAUGGCAAGCUUGUUCCCAGCAUGUGAUCCGCCAUUAAUCACAUUAAAGGCAGGUACAGGGAGCACCAAAGUUUUGUUUCCAGCAAGAUUUGCGAUGUGCUGCAAAUAAGUAAACUUUCAGGACACCCUCUAAAUUGUGCAUACAACAUAAUAAUAAAUUAUAGCGGUAAUGUUUGAAAGACCUGGUAAAGAGGAAUCUUCUUCACCAUAGCUCCAGCUUUACACACAGCAAGUGAAACGGCAAGAAUGGCAUUUGCGCCAAGCUUUAUAGAUUGAACAUGACAAAGGAAAUCAAUACAAGCAGUGCAAGAUGGAAGUCAAGUUUAGGAACACAAGUAUGAACUCCAUGAUACCUUCUGUUUGCACCAGCCCCAUUCGUUGGAGGUACCAUCAAGCUGUUGGACCAUGAAGUUGUCAAUCUCAACCUGCUCAGUGGGGUCCUGAAACAUAAUUCACCAUAAUAAGAUAGCUAUCAUGUGUUUUGGGUAUCACAUCAUAGAAAAGUAGCUUUAGAAUUGAGAUAUACCACAUCAAUGAAAUCAUGUAACUUUAGAAUUGAGAUACAUACCUUUCCAACGAUUGCUGGUCCAAUAAUUGUAUUUACAUUGCUCACAGCCUAGCAAAAGACAAUACGACUUAUUCCAAUGUGAAAAAAGAAGACAACACAUCAAAACAGAAUGGUUGCAAUCACUGACACAGGUUAGCUGUGGAUUCAAAUUUUAAGCCAAAAGCUACGUAGUAACAUUAGUCAACUGAAGCUUUGAGCAUAGCCUUUAAAUAGGUUCUGAAAUCAAAUUUAUCGCAAAUAAAAGGGGGAGGAUUCACAUGUUGGUUUCUAUUAUAUAAGUUAACCAUGACCACUGGAUGCAUGAAUGGCUACGGUGCAUGCGAGUGCAUGACAAAUACAGCUAGUAUUAUACCCUUGCUCAGACUGAAAUGGAGAAAUUGGCUGGUUAACUAACCUUAAGAACACCCUUGCCAAGAUAAUCAGAUCCUCCAUCCCUCAACUCCAAGGCCUCAUAUAUUCCUGAGAGAGUCAAUUGUUCAAAGAUAAAAAUGUCAAAUUCUGUGCAUUAAAUGUCUAACACAUGGAAUUUGUGGUAACUACAGAAGGCAACCUAUUCAAAAAGUAAUUGUGUCUCGACCACAAACUGAAAUUUCACAAAAAGUCCACUCCAAACAAAAUAGCAGAUACUGACAUCCCAUAGUAUACCACAUCUAAUAUCUAAAAGUGUUUGGACCACAAACUGAAAUUUCACAAAAAGUCCAUUCCAAACGAAACAGCAGAUGUUGAUGUCCCAUAAUACCAUAUCUAAUAUCAAUAGUAUGUCUUUUUCUAUGUUGCUAACAUACCAAAAUGAUUAAAUGACACAGUAUCACAUAUAAAUAUGUUUCUUGAUUCAUUAGAUAAGAAUACUUCAGGGGAGGUCUAUUGGCUUUAGUACUUUACUGCAUUAUUAUUUCUGUGUUAAUUGAAAACAAAAUCAUGCUUAUAAUCGAUGAUUGAAGCAAAGGUUGAGACAAGUGUAACUGAAAAUAAACAGAUAAACCAAUAAAUCACAUUAUAUCUGAAAAACAUUCUAAUUAAUAGUGAGACAAUAUAAUAACAGAAGUUCAAAAGUCAAGUUUGUGUCCUGCUUCAUUAACAGAUCCAGAUGGUAAGCAAUUUUCAGAUCAGCUAACCAUGUGAUGACGGUGAUGAUUCUGCUUUGAAACUAUAAGAUGAUUUUUUAUAAACCCUUCCCAUUGAGUAUUUCGAUUCGCGCAGUAAAAAAAAUAGCAAGGUUCUAAACAAGCGCUGGUCAUGGCGGUGGAGAACAGACUGAAAACUUAGAACAAGAAUAUACGCAUCAAUCAGAUCUAGCAACAAAACAACCGCGCGCACAUCUCAGUCCUAGCCAGUUCAACAUGACGAAGACUGUUAUUAUCACCCAACAACCAACAAACGCACAGUUAUAUGUCACAGAGCCACACAGCAUCGACGAUCUCAGACACCGCUCGAAUCCGCUCGACACGCCCAGAUCAAGCGAACCAAGCAGACCCUCACGAACAGAGCACGCUGGUAGAUGGAGCAGAGCAGAGGCAGACAGACGUACCAGUGGAUGCGCCGCUCGGCACGGCACCCCUCGCGUAGCUGCCGUCGCUGAGGCCGAUGUCCACCUGCGCGCAGCGCAGCAGUUAAUCCAGAUUCAUCAUAUCACAGGAAAACAAAAACCGGAGCACAUCGGCACAGCGACGCGGCGAAUCGGCACAGAUCUCCGAAUUCACAGCGCGCCCCAUGGAAGACUGAGGAAAAACGAAACGAACGCGACGCACCUCGACGGUGGGGUUGCCGCGGCUGUCGAAGAUCUGCCUCGCCUUCACCCACGUGAUCGUGACCGCCAUCUCGAAAAAGGCCUAGAAGCGCUCGCCCGCUCGCUCGCUCGCUAUCUGUGGUGGGCUGGUGGCGUUUGCGGUUUUGCGCCUCGCCUCCGCGGCCGGCCGGGACUAUUUGUAGAAGAAGAGAAGAGGGACGCCGCGGAGGGAUGGACUGGGGCCACCUGGAGGUGACAGAUGUUUGAUCCCGUGGAGCCCGCCCGUCGGUGGCCUGGCUUGGAGGAGGGGAAGCUCCGCCCUCGGUUUGCACGGGGGCUGCGGCAGCAGAUUCGAUUUCUUGUUCCCUGGUGGUACUGUCUGUGUGCGCUCUCUCUCCUCUGCUGGUUUCCUUUCGUUCAAAUUUAGGAACUUGCUUAAUAAUAAUUACUGGAAAGUACCACACCAUCGUCAUUAGAAAUUCUCCUCCGUUGAAAAGCUUGUUGGCUUCUUCGAUCUGCGGCGGCUGCAGCAGCUGCCUCUGUUUGAUUUCUUGACCUUCUAUAAUAUCUGUAAUCUAUCAUCAAGCAGUAGACAAGCAGCACAUCCUCACAGGUUGUGGUUCUAUCUGAGGCUACAAGCCGAAACCGUGGCAAGAGAUUUGAUGCGGCUGUGGCUCCAUCUACCGCUACGAGUCAUGCAUUAUUGUGGCUGUGACUUCAUCUGUCACUGCAAGCUGAAGCUGUGCAGGUGAGUGGUUUCCAUGUUGAAUUUAAAAAUAGCUUAACAAAGCAAAAGAAACAAGAAAGUUACUCGCAUAUAGAGAAACAAAAAAGUCGCUUGCAUAUGGCAAAAAUCAGCAAGAUUUUUCUGUUCCGACAAGUGCGGGCUACCACUCAUCGAAAUAUAGAAAAACAACAUCUUUUUCCCCUUUUUUGUCUUCGAUUGUGGCUCCAACUGCCGCUACAAGCCAUGAAUUAAUGCCUUUUUUGUCUUCUGUUGUGGCUCUAUCUACCACUACAAGCCAUGAAUUAGUGCGACGGUUGUGGCUACAUUUGCUGCUGCAAGCCAUGAAUUGUUGCGGUUGUGGCUCCAUCUGCCGCUACAAGCUGAAGUUGUUGCGAUGGAUUUUCAUGCUAAAUUCGAAAAUAGCUUAAUAACACAGCAAAAGGAAACAAGAGUCACUCGCAAUAACAAGACCAGCAACCAACAAGAUUUUUAGGUGUGCAAGAUGCGAUUGUGGCUCCAUCUACCGAUACAAGCCGAAGUCGUGUGGCUCCAUCUUCCACUACAAGUCAAAGUCAUGACAAGGGUUUUCUAUGCUGAAUUCAAAAAUGGCUCAAUAACAAAGCAAAAGAAACAAGAAAGUCGCUUGCAAAUAGAAGACCAUCAAGAUUUUUCGUUGCGCAAGAUGAGGAUGUGGCUUUAUAUGCUACUACAAGCCGAAGCAGCAUGGCUCUAUUGUCGUUACAAGACAAAGCAGUGUGGCUCUAUUUGCAGCAUAGCUGCCAAAGCAGUGUGGCUCUAUCUGCUGCUACAAACCGAAGCCAUGUGGCUCCAUCUGCCGCUAUAAGGCAAAGUCGUGUGGCUCCAUUUGCUGCUACAUGCCAAAGUCAUGGCAAGAGGUUUCCACAGAGCAAAAGAAACAAGUCGCUCACAUAUGGAAGACUAAUUGCGCAAAAUGUAGUUGUGGCUUCAUUCGCCGCUACAAGCCGCCAGUUGUUGAGAGAGGUUUUCAUGUUGAAUUCGAAAAUGUCUUAAUAACAUAGAAAAAAUACAAGAGUCACUCACAUAUAUCAAGACCAGGAACCAACAAGAUUUUCUAGUGCGCAAUAUGCGGUUGUCGCUCCAUCUGCCGAUACAAGCCAAAGUCGUGUGGCUCCAUCCACCACUACAAGUCAAAGCCAUGGCGAGGGGUUUCCAUGCUGAAGUCGAAAAUAGUUCAAUAACAAAGCAAAAGAAACAAGAAAGUCGCUCGCAAAUGGAAGACCAUCAAGAUUUUUCGAAGCGCGGAAUGAGGUUGUUGCUCCAUAUGCCGUUACAACCCAAAGCAGUGUGGCUCUAUUGUCGCUACAAGACGAAGUGGUGUGGCUCUAUUUGUCGCUACAAGCCGCCAAAGUAAUGUGGCUCUGUCUGCCACUACAAAGCUGAAGUCGUGUGGCUCCAUCUACCACUACAAGGCGAAGUCGUGUGGCUCCAUUUGUUGCUACAUGUCAAAGUCGUGGCAAGGGGUUUCCAUGCUAAAUUCAAAAAUAGCUUAGUACCAUAGCAAAAGAAACAAGUCGCUCACAUAUGGAAGACCAGUUGCGCAAGAUGUGAUUGUGGCUCUAUCCACCGCUACAAGCCAAAACAUCAUGGCUCUAUAUGCCAGUACAAGCCGAAGCAGUGUGGCGCUCGAAGCAUACUACAAACCGAAGUUGCCGCUACAAGACUCAACUUUAUAAUAAGGACUCUUUAGGUAUUGUAUGGAUACCUAAAGGUACGUUCAGCGUAGGCGCGUAGAGGGUAGAAAUGUAGAUCAAAAUUUAUUACUAUAGCUAUAUAUUCAAUAUAAAAGAAUUUGAAUUUUAGAAUUAAAGAUUCAUAAUAUAAGACUUCUCAGCUCUUAUCCAUUUCUUUGAAAUGAAUACAUCAUUCAAUUUGGAAGCAGGAUAGUAAAGAUUUCAUUAACUUGCCAAAUAAACGCUGAUAGAAAAAAGAGUACAUGUAUGACAAGCAUAAGAGCAACUCCAACAAAUAUGUUAUCUAGCCUACUUUUAUAUUUUCAAAACAAAAAUUAAAGUCCAAUAAGUGUACUGUUUAGUUUGCUAAAAUAGCAAAUUUACUAUUCCUAAACUUUUGCUUGUCAUAUAUAGCGUGUAGAACUCUAUGCUUUAAGUGAAUUUUUUUAUAUUUUACACAAUAGCUAAAUCUUGUAGUUUAGAAUAUAAUUUAAACUAGUCUAUUAAAGAUGCUCUAACAUCUAUGAUUGGGUUGAAAAUGGCAUAAGCUUUGGGUAUUUUGGCAAAGAAAAAGCUAGUCAAACAAAGAAUAAAAUUAAAACAGGUUUUCAUGCUUAAAUUCAAAAAUGGCUUAAUAACAGAGCAAAAGAUAGAAAGUCUCUAGCAUAUGGCAAGAUCAUAAUGAUUUUCUGUUGUGCAAGAUGCAGCUAUGGCUCCAUCUGCCGAUAAAAGCAAAGCCAUAGUAAAGAAUUUCCAUGCCGAAUACGAAAAUGUUUCAUAGAGCAAAAGAAACAAGAAAGUCGCUUGCUUUCUGUGGAGUACCCAUCAAAAUCAGUUUGGGCAACGAUAUUACAACGAGUGCGGACCACCACUCCAUCACUCAUAUCUAGAAAAACAGUUCUUUUUUUCUUUUUUUUUGUUCCCACGACAAAAUCACUAGUGUAGCUCUCCGGCAAACAAGACCAUACUUUUAUUGUGAUAGUACAGACAUUCUAUCAAAAAGCAGCAGCGAACUAGUAGCUCCACAAGAAACAUCCUCGUCUUCUUUCUCCAGACUCUGGGCUCUCGUGGUUUAGUAGGGCUCCACUGGUGCCCUGAACUUUGCUCCGGCGUAGACUGCGGCAUCACCGAGCUCUUCCUCGAUCCUGAGGAGCUGCAACCACGAACGUUUGGUUCAGACUCAAGAGCCGUAAGCAUAACCUGGUUGCGAAACGAAGAAGCCUUGCGCGCGCAGGUGCGCCCGCUUACCUGGUUGUAUUUGGCCAGGCGCUCAGACCGGCAGGGAGCUCCUGUCUUGAUUUGGCCCUGAAACGAAGUCAUGGAGACCAGGUCAGUACCGAACAUGUUCAAUUCGGACAAUAUUUUAAGUGUAUGUUCGCCAAUUGACGGUGUACCGUAGCCAGGCCAACUGAGAGGUCAGCAAUGAAGGUGUCCUCAGUCUCGCCACUGAAAAAAUGAAAAGAUAGAACAAUUGAGUGAAACAGAUCAAAAACGAAAGUUAGUUAAGUUUUCAAAAGCAAACAAAAAACUUAAAUGGCUACCUCCUGUGGCUUGCCAUCACACCCCAUCCGGCACGCUUGGACAUUCUAACAGCUUCGAUACUCUCAGUCACAGAGCCGAUUUGGUUCACCUGUCACCCGUGUAGCAAUGGAGUUAGUCAACAGCCACUUACAAUAAAGGUAAUCCUUACCCAGGCGAAAAGAUUAGCGAUAUGAAAUAGCAAUGAUUCUACCUUCAAGAGAAGAGCAUUGCAGGUCUUCUCAUUGAUGGCCUUGGCAACCCUCUGUACAGCACAGGUCAAGCAGGUACUGUUUAGAACUGCAUGUUGUGCAUAGAACUAGGAGGAAAUCAAUUACUUAAAAUGUUACUCACAGUGGGGUUAGUAACAAGAAGAUCAUCUCCUACAAUCUGCACUUGCUGUCCAAUCUCAUCAGUGAGUUUGGCAUAAGUGGUCCAGUCAUCCUGAUCGAAUGGAUCUUCGAUAGA